AUGUCUUCCGCCUUGAGGUGCCACCAUUUCCUAACCACGGCGCAAAAUGGGACUGGCGACAUCGAGGAAACGCCCGGCAACGGCAACGGCAACGAUCACAGCGAAGCCGCGAGUCACCCUGAGCCUGCUGACAAAGGGUCGGCCGCGACGAGUGGCGGAGUCAUGUUGGAGCUGCGCAUGUACCUCCUGCUGAUGGCCAUCCUGGCGGCUACAGUGACGUACGUCGCUGGGCUAAACCCGCCGGGCGGAGUCUGGCAGCUGAGCACCAAGGACGGCUACCGCGCCGGCAACCAGAUCCUCGUGGUGACGGACCACACCCGGUACAACGCCUUCUUCUACAGCAACGCCACCGCGUUCAUGGCGUCGGUCGUGGUCAUCCUCCUCCUCCUCCUCGUAGAGCGGAGCGUGGACGGGAGCACCAAGUGGCUCGUCACGCUAAGGGUGGUCAUGGUGCUGGACUUGCUCGCGCUCAUGGUGGCCUACGCCGCCGGGGCAAGCCGGGGAACGGUCACAACCGUCUUCGCCUCCGUUCUGGUAUCCGCCGUCUUCAUCUAUAACAUGUUUCAUAUAAUCAUGUAUCUCCAACCCUGCGAGGACAAGAAAAAGAAACCUCCUUCCGAACCUCUACCUGAACCUGGGGUCGGGGAGGACAAGCACAAGCCUCUUCCUCAUGAAGAUCAAGGUCCCAAUGUUGCUAAUGAUUUGGAAGGCCUACUCAAAAUCGAGCGGCGGCGCAAGGUUCUUAUGCUGUUCGCGAUCUUCUCGGCCACCGUCACCUACACGGCAGGGCUGAACCCACCGGGUGGCUUCUUUCUGGUGACCCAGAACGGCCACCGCGCCGGUGACCCGGUACUCCAGGAUGGCCACUCCCGACGCUUCAUGGCCUUCUUCAUCUUCAACACCGCCGCUUUCAUUGCGUCCCUGGUUGCAGUCAUGCGCCUGACGACCAUCAGGAGCGAGCUCGAGAUGGACACCGUGGACCAGUGGCAGCAUGUCCCGUACGGGUUCGUCCUCGUCGCGCUGUUCAGCCUUUGCGGGGCCUACGCCGUCGGGAGCUGCAGGAGUACUACCUCCACCAUCUACCUCGGCGUGCUGGUUCUCCUUCUUGUCGUAUACAUCACCAUCCUGUUCCUCAUCCACAAAUACUGGUGGGAUAAGCUGUCCAACCUUGCUGGUCAAAUAGGAAGCCGGCUAUGUUCAUGCUGGACCUGGAUCCAUCAACCCAUCGGUUCAUGCUGGAGCCGGAUCCACAAACCCAUCAUCAAAGGAACCCCAGGGGGUGAGAAUGGAUCCAAGAAAAAGAUGGCGCCGGCGUCAUCGCCAGAGCCGCCAGAGAGCGAAGGCAUCAUUCAGCUAAGGAGGGCUCACUAUCUGGUGCUGCUACUUGCCACUGUUGCAGCGACCAUCACCUACCAGGCAGGGAUGAACCCGCCGGGCGGCUUCUGGCCUGACGACCGUGACGGGCACAAGGGCGGCGACCCGGUGCUGGUGACCACGCACCCCAGGCGUUACAGGGUGUUCUUCUACUGCAACUCCGCCGCUCUGGUCGCCUCGGUGGUUGUCAUCAUUAUGGUCCAGAGCAAGCAUCUGACAUCGAGCGCCGUCCACAAGAGCCACGGGCUGGAGGCCGCCAUGAUACUGGACCUGCUUAGCCUCAUGGCUGCGUACGCGGUCGGUUGUGCCCGGGACGUGAGCACCUCCCUCCACGUCGUCGCUCUGGCCGGCGCCGUCCUGGUCUACGUGGUCAUACACAUCGCCUUGUUCACGCUAGACCACAAGGGCGACAGCAGAGGCGACGACAAGGAGGAAGAGAAAAUGCUGAAGAGGCGCAAAGUACUGCUGCUGCUCGCCAUCUUGGCCGCCACCAUCACGUACCAAGCUGGGUUGACUCCGCCGGGAGGCUUCUGGGUCGACGAGGACGUGCCCGGUGGGCACACCGCAGGCUACCCAGUUCUCUCGACCGGCUACCCUCGCCGCUACGCCACCUUCUUCUACUGCAACGCGGCGAGCUUCAUGUCAUCCAUAGCCGUCAUCAUCCUCCUCGUCAACCCGAACCUGUACCGGCUGGGCAUAAGGUGCUACGCCCUCUACGUGUGCGCGGUGGCGGGCCUGUUCGGCCUCAUGGCCGCCUACGCAGCCGGAAGCUCUCGCCAUCUCCGGACAUCCAUCUUCAUGAUCUCACUGGUGGCUGUGGUAGUCACCUUCAUAAUCUUCUCCUAG
rnacentral:rRNA from 1 species